GAUCCUGGCUCAGGAUGAACGCUGGCGGCGUGCUUAACACAUGCAAGUCGAGCGAAGCGCUUAAACGGAUUUCUUCGGAUUGAAGUUUUUGUGACUGAGCGGCGGACGGGUGAGUAACGCGUGGGCAACCUGCCCCAUACCGGGGGAUAACAGCUGGAAACGGCUGCUAAUACCGCAUAAGCGCACAGUGCCGCAUGGCACGGUGUGAAAAACUCCGGUGGUAUGGGAUGGGCCCGCGUUGGAUUAGCCAGUUGGCAGGGUAACGGCCUACCAAAGCGACGAUCCAUAGCCGGCCUGAGAGGGCGACCGGCCACAUUGGGACUGAGACACGGCCCAAACUCCUACGGGAGGCAGCAGUGGGGAAUAUUGCACAAUGGGGGAAACCCUGAUGCAGCGACGCCGCGUGAGCGAAGAAGUAUUUCGGUAUGUAAAGCUCUAUCAGCAGGGAAGAAAAUGACGGUACCUGACUAAGAAGCCCCGGCUAACUACGUGCCAGCAGCCGCGGUAA
rnacentral:rRNA from 1 species